rnacentral:rRNA from 1 species
CAGCCGCCGCGGUAAUACGAAGGGGGCUAGCGUUGUUCGGAAUUACUGGGCGUAAAGCGCACGUAGGCGGAUACUUAAGUCAGGGGUGAAAUCCCAGAGCUCAACUCUGGAACUGCCUUUGAUACUGGGUAUCUUGAGUAUGGAAGAGGUUAGUGGAAUUGCGAGUGUAGAGGUGAAAUUCGUAGAUAUUCGCAGGAACACCAGUGGCGAAGGCGGCUAACUGGUCCAUAACUGACGCUGAGGUGCGAAAGCGUGGGGAGCAAACAGGAUUAGAUACCCCCGUAGUCCCUGUCUCUUAUAC